rnacentral:misc_RNA from 1 species
GAUGAAGAACGUAGCAAAAUGCGAUAAGUAAUGUGAAUUGCAGAAUUCAGUGAAUCAUCGAAUCUUUGAACGCACAUUGCGCCCGCCAGUAUUCUGGAGGGCAUGCCUGUUCGAGCGUCAUUUCAACCCUCAAGCACAGCUUGGUGUUGGGACUCGCGUUAAUUCGCGUUCCUCAAAUUGAUUGGCGGUCACGUCGAGCUUCCAUAGCGUAGUAGUAAAACCCUCGUUACUGGUAAUCGUCGCGGCCACGCCGUUAAACCCCAACUUCUGAAUGUUGACCUCGGAUCAGGUAGGAAUACCCGCUGAACUUAAGCAUAUCAAUAAGCGGAGGA